AUUGAACGCUGGCGGCAGGCUUAACACAUGCAAGUCGAGCGGGGUGAUGGUGCUUGCACUAUCACUUAGCGGCGGACGGGUGAGUAAUGCUUAGGAAUCUGCCUAUUAGUGGGGGACAACAUCUCGAAAGGGAUGCUAAUACCGCAUACGUCCUACGGGAGAAAGCAGGGGAUCACUUGUGACCUUGCGCUAAUAGAUGAGCCUAAGUCGGAUUAGCUAGUUGGGGGGGUAAAGGCCUACCAAGGCGACGAUCUGUAGCGGGUCUGCGAGGAAGAUGCGCCACACUAGGACUGAGAGACUGCCCAGAAUUCUACGGGCGGCGGCAGUCGGGAAUAUUGGACAAUGGGAGGAACCCUGAUCCAGCCAUGCGGCGUGUGUGAAGAAGGCCUUAUGGUUGUAAAGCACUUUAAGCGAGGAGGAGGCUCUUUUGGUUAAUACCCAAGAUGAGUGGACGUUACUCGCAGAAUAAGCACCGGCUAACUCUGUGCCAGCCGCCGCCGUAA
rnacentral:rRNA from 1 species